rnacentral:rRNA from 1 species
GUGGACGCCAGUCUGCAUGGAGCCGACCUUGAAAUACCACCCUUUAAUGUUUGAUGUUCUAACGUUGACCCGUAAUCCGGGUUGCGGACAGUGUCUGGUGGGUAGUUUGACUGGGGCGGUCUCCUCCUAAAGAGUAACGGAGGAGCACGAAGGUUGGCUAAUCCUGGUCGGACAUCAGGAGGUUAGUGCAAUGGCAUAAGCCAGCUUGACUGCGAGCGUGACGGCGCGAGCAGGUGCGAAAGCAGGUCAUAGUGAUCCGGUGGUUCUGAAUGGAAGGGCCAUCGCUCAACGGAUAAAAGGUACUCCGGGGAUAACAGGCUGAUACCGCCCAAGAGUUCAUAUCGACGGCGGUGUUUGGCACCUCGAUGUCGGCUCAUCACAUCCUGGGGCUGAAGUAGGUCCCAAGGGUAUGGCUGUUCGCCAUUUAAAGUGGUACGCGAGCUGGGUUUAGAACGUCGUGAGACAGUUCGGUCCCUAUCUGCCGUGGGCGCUGGAGAACUGAGGGGGGCUGCUCCUAGUACGAGAGGACCGGAGUGGACGCAUCACUGGUGUUCGGGUUGUCAUGCCAAUGGCACUGCCCGGUAGCUAAAUGCGGAAGAGAUAAGUGCUGAAAGCAUCUAAGCACGAAACUUGCCCCGAGAUGAGUUCUCCCUGACUCCUUGAGAGUCCUGAAGGAACGUUGAAGACGACGACGUUGAUAGGCCGGGUGUGUAAGCGCAGCGAUGCGUUGAGCUAACCGGUACUAAUGAACCGUGAGGCUUAACC